rnacentral:lncRNA from 1 species
GUUGUUUGCUAAAUAUAGUCCAAUUAGCUACUUACAGCAGAGUUUGGCGCUAGGACUCUUAUGCGGCACCUCACUCUUUCUCUGGAAUGUCCACAAAUAGACCAGGGCAGCAGUCACAGAGAGGUUUGGAAGAUAUCACUUCCCCCUCCAUCUGAAAGGUAAGUUACUGGAUAUGACACUGGAUUCACAGAGGUCGAAAGCCAUAUGCAAGCUGCACAGUGGUGACUCAGCCUACCCAGCCCACAGAAUGCACCUCUUCCUGGGAUUUGGUAAGCCCUCCAUCAACCCUGAGUGCUCACUGAAAGGACAGAUCCUGAAGCUGAGGCUCCAGUACUUUGGCCAUCUCAUGAGAAGAGAAGACUCCUUGGAAAAGCCCCUGAUGUUGGGAAAGUGUGAAGGCAAGAGAAGGGGACGACAGAGGACGAGAUGGUUGGACAGUGUCAUCGAAGCUACCAACAUUAAUUUGACCCAACUAUGGGAGGCAGUGGAAGACAGGAGGGCCUGGUGUGCUCUGGUACAUGUGGUCACGAAGAGUUGGACAGGACUUAACGACUAAACAACAAGCCCUCCAUACAUUCUGUGGAUUCAAAUCAACCUGCUUCAACUCCAGCUUGUUUUAUUAUGGGAAGUUACAGUUAGAAUAGGCCUAUUUGAAUCGGUGGAACUUACAUAAGUGUUCACUCACUAAAUACUUGUUGAUUAAAUGGGCCUGCUUUAAUGCAAUUUAUUAUACUAAGCAACACGAUAUUAACCACUGUUAUUUUCUUGUUGCUGGUUUUAGCAGAAAUUGUGAUUUUCUUGUUGACAGUUUUAGCAGAAAUUGUCAUAGAAAAGCAAAAGACACCUGUUCAUUCAUGUUUUUCUUUCUUUCUUUCUUCCAGUAGUAAGCUCACAGAUUGAGUUAUGUUAACACUUAUGGGAGCAACUGGACCUGAGCAACAAAACUGGAGUCGGUUAUAAGGAAAUGUUGGAAAUAUAAAUCCAAGAUUCUGACUGUUCAUUAUGUUGACAAAAUACCAAUAAAGAUUGAGGGAGAUCUUCUGUAAGAGACCA